rnacentral:rRNA from 1 species
UACGUAGGGGGCUAGCGUUGUCCGGAAUCAUUGGGCGUAAAGAGCGUGUAGGCGGCCCGGUAAGUCCGCUGUGAAAGUCGGGGGCUCAACCCUCGAAGCCGGUGGAUACUGUCGGGCUAGAGUGCGGAAGAGGCGAGUGGAAUUCCUGGUGUAGCGGUGAAAUGCGUAGAUAUCGUAAGGAAGACCAGUGGCGAAGGCGGGUCUCUGGACAGUUCCUGACGCUGAGGCACGAAGGCCAGGGGAGCAAACGGG